UGUUGCAGAUAAUGUGGAAAUCUUAAUACUCCCGAUCCAUCGAUCUCGGAAGUUAAGCAACGUGCAGUUCGGUCAGUUCUUGGAUGGGAGACCACCAAGGAUGCCCAGAUGCUGCAGCCU
rnacentral:rRNA from 1 species